rfam:Biomphalaria glabrata isolate BB02 unplaced genomic scaffold LGTN_random_Scaffold316, whole genome shotgun sequence.
UGGCUGAGUGGUUAAGCGCUAGGCUUCCAAACUUGGGGUCCUGGGUUCGAAUCUCGG